UACGGAGGGUGCAAGCGUUAUCCGGAAUCAUUGGGUUUAAAGGGUCCGUAGGCGGAUUGAUAAGUCAGGGGUGAAAUCCAACAGCUUAACUGUUGAACUGCCCUUGAUACUGUUAGUCUUGAGUUAUAUGGAAGUAGAUAGAAUAUGUAGUGUAGCGGUGAAAUGCUUAGAGAUUACAUAGAAUACCGAUUGCGAAGGCAGUCUACUACGUAUAUACUGACGCUCAUGGACGAAAGCGUGGGGAGCGAACAGG
rnacentral:rRNA from 1 species